rnacentral:rRNA from 1 species
GAUGAACGCUGGCGGCGUGCCUAAUACAUGCAAGUCGAGCGAACGGACGAGAAGCUUGCUUCUCUGAUGUUAGCGGCGGACGGGUGAGUAACACGUGGAUAACCUACCUAUAAGACUGGGAUAACUUCGGGAAACCGGAGCUAAUACCGGAUAAUAUUGUGAACCGCAGGGUUCAAAAGUGAAAGACGGUCUUGCGGUCACUUAUAGAUGGAUCCGCGCUGCAUUAGCUAGUUGGUAAGGUAACGGCUUACCAAGGCAACGAUGCAUAGCCGACCUGAGAGGGUGAUCGGCCACACUGGGACUGAGACACGGUCCAGACUCCUACGGGAGGCAGCAGUAGGGAAUCUUCCGCAAUGGGCGAAAGCCUGACGGAGCAACGCCGCGUGAAUGAUGAAGGUCUUCGGAUCGUAAAACUCUGUUAUUAGGGAAGAACAUAUGUGUAAGUAACUGUGCACAUCUUGACGGUACCUAAUCAGAAAGCAACGGCUAACUACGUG